AGAGAGAGAGAGAGAGAGAGAGAGAGAGAGAGAGAGAGAGAGAGAGAGAGAGAGAGAGAGAGAGAGAGAGAGAGAGAGAGAGAGAAGGAGAGUGUGAGAGAAAGAGAGAGAAAGAGAGUUAAAACCAUUACAUUAUCCGUCUUAGUCUUGGCUCCCAGUCUGAGGUAUAGAGGGCGGGGUGCAGGUGUUUCCAGAUCUCUGAUUGGUGGAUCUUCUCUAUUCUUCUUCCUUCCUCUCUCCAGUCCCCUCUCCCCUCCCAUCUCCUCCCCAAGGCCCCCCACUCAAGGCCUCUCUCAGGUCCUCAGACCACAAACAGCCAAUCAGAGCACAGAAGAAGACUGAAGACCUAAACAAAGAGUGGAUUGUACGCUCCUGACCCGACCCUUUGGUCCCCUACAGACCUCCUGGUCAUCUGGUCCCCUCAAGACCCUCCACAGACCCCCUACAGACCUCCUGGUCAUCUGGUCCCUUCAAGACCCUCUACAGACCCCCUACAGACCCUCCACAGACCCCCUACAGACCUCCUGGUCAUCUGGUCCCCCUCAAGACCCUCCACAGACCCCCUACAGACCUCCUGGUCAUCUGGUCCCCUCAAGACCCUCUACAGACCCCCCUACAGACCUCCUUGUCAUCUGGUCCCCUACAGACCCCCUACAGACCCCCCUACAGACCCCCUACAGACCACCUGGUCAUCUGGUCCCCUCAAGACCCUCUACAGACUCCCUACAGACCUCCUGGUCAUCUGGUCCCCUACAGACCCUACUGACCCUACAGACCCUACUGACCCUACUGACCCUACAGACCCCUACUAACCCUACUGACCCUACUGACCCUACUGACCCCACUGACCCUAUUGACCCUACUGACCCUACUGACCCUACUGACCCCACUGACCCUACUGACCCUACAGACCCUACUGACCCCUACUAACCCCACUGACCCUACUGACCCCACUGACCCUACUGACCCUACAGACCCUACUGACCCCUACUGACCCCACUGACUCUACUGACCCCCUACAGACCCUACAGACCCUACUGACCCUACAGACCCUACAGACCCUACCGGUCCUGUCCCGGGCCUGAGGGAGAUCCCCGCGGUGGAUUCUGGUGACCUCACCAGUGUCUUCAUUCUGUGGCGGCCAGGCGGCCUGCAGAGCGUUCUCCAUGAGGAGCAGUGGAAGAUGCCGGCUCUGCCAGCACUGCUGCUGUCGAUCACUGUCCUGGCCCUGCUGCUGACCCCGGCCGCCUGCUCACCAAGCCCCGCCCACACACUGGUCGCCGUGCGCAUGGGUGAGUCACAGUAGGCCACGCCUCCCAACAAUAGGCCACGCCUCUCCUUGGUUAGCCCCGCCUCCCCCCCUGGUGUUCUUGUGUGUGUUGAUGGCUCAAUUGAAAACAAUCAUUUAAAGUAUAGAAUGAGAGUUUGCAGAAAAGACGAGUGUGGAGAAACAAGUUAGCAUCAAGAUGACGUGAGGGGUCAGGGAUACACACACACACACAUACACACACACAGACACACAGACACACACACACACACAAACAAACACACACACACACACACACACACACACACACACACACACACACACACACACACACACACACACACACACACACACACACACACACCACCACCCACCAGACUGCCCUUUGUUAAAAAUGUGCUUUAUCAGAAUAACUCAAUGAUAGCAUGUGUCUAACAUAAACAAUGUGAGCAGCUCUGUAGGUAGAGACUGUAUAGAGCUCUGUAGGUAGAGACUGUAUAGAGCUCUGUAGGUAGAGACUGUAGAGCUCUGUAGGUAGAGACUGUGUAGAGCUCUGUAGGUAGAGACUGUAUAGAGCUCUGUAGGUAGAGACUGUGUAGAGCUCUGUAGAGACUGUAUAGAGCUCUGUAGGUAGAGACUCUAUAGAGCUCUGCUGAUACCGGCAGGUCUAGAGGAGGGUUGUCUUGACCUAGGAAGAGGCCUAGAGGGAGGUCUAGGAGGGAGGCCUAGAGGAGGACUAGGGGAGGUCUAGAGGAGGUCUAGAGGAGGUCUAGAGGAGGACUAGGGGAGGUCUAGAGGAGGUCUAGAGGAGGUCUAGAGGAGGUCCAGGGGGUGAGAGGAGGUCUAGAGGAGGUCUAAAGGAGGUCUAGAGGAGGUCUAGAGGAGGUCCAGGGGGUGAGAGGAGGUCUAGAGGAGGUCCAGGGGGUGAGAGGAGGUCUAGAGGAGGUCCAGGGAGUGAGAGGAGGACUAGAGGAGGUCCAGG
ensembl:lncRNA